UAACACCUGCUGGAGGACCGAACCGGGUGCCUGUUGAAAAAGUCUCGGAUGAGCUGUGGAUAGGGGUGAAAGGCCAAUCAAGGCUGGAAAUAGCUGGUUCUCCGCGAAAUCUAUUUAGGUAGAGCCUCGAGUGAAUACCCCAGGGGGUAGAGCACUGGAUGGGCUAGGGGCCCCCACAGGGUUACCAACCUAACCAAACUCCGAAUACCUGGGAGUACUGCUCGGGAGACACACGGCGGGUGCUAACGUCCGUCGUGUAAAAGGGAAAAAACCCUGACCGACAGCUAAGGUCCUCAAGUCACGGCUAAGUGUGAAAGGAUGUGGAAAUCCCAUAACAACCAGGAGGUUGGCUUAGAAGCAGCCAUCCUUUAAAGAAAAGCGUAACAGCUCACUGGUCUAAUUAAGGGUUUUCUGCGCCGAAAAAUGUAACGGGG
rnacentral:rRNA from 1 species